UUAUAUGAGAGUUUGAUCCUGGCUCAGGAUGAACGCUGGCGGCGUGCCUAAUACAUGCAAGUCGAACGAGAUUUUAUUAAUUGAUUACUUCGGUAUGAUUUUUCUAAAAUCGAGUGGCGGACGGGUGAGUAACACGUGGGUAACCUGCCCUUAAGUAGGGGAUAACAUUUGGAAACAGAUGCUAAUACCGUAUAAAUCUCAGAAACACAUGUUUCUGAGCUGAAAGGCGGCUUUCGAGCUGUCGCUUUUGGAUGGACCCGCGGCGUAUUAGCUAGUUGGUGAGGUAAAGGCUCACCAAGGCAGUGAUACGUAGCCGACCUGAGAGGGUGAUCGGCCACAUUGGGACUGAGACACGGCCCAAACUCCUACGGGAGGCAGCAGUAGGGAAUCUUCCACAAUGGACGAAAGUCUGAUGGAGCAACGCCGCGUGAGUGAAGAAGGUUUUCGGAUCGUAAAACUCUGUUGUUGGAGAAGAACACGUUUGAGAGUAACUGUUCAGACGUUGACGGUAUCCAACCAGAAAGCCACGGCUAACUACGUGCCAGCAGCCGCGGUAAUACGUAGGUGGCAAGCGUUAUCCGGAUUUAUUGGGCGUAAAGCGAGCGCAGGCGGUUUCUUAAGUCUGAUGUGAAAGCCUUCGGCUUAACCGAAGAAGUGCAUCGGAAACUGGG
rnacentral:ncRNA from 1 species